rnacentral:misc_RNA from 1 species
UCCGUGUUCACCACGGCAGUCUCCUUAGAGAGCCCAACUGAAUGCUGGCAACUAAGGACAGGGGUUGCGCUCGUUGCGGGACUUAACCCAACAUGUCACCACACGAGCUGACGACAGCCAUGCAGCACCUGUCUUCUGGUCGUAUUGCUACGAAAGCCGUAUCUCUAGGGUUGUCAGAGGCAUUCUAGCCCAGGUAAGGUUCUUCGCGUUGCGUCGAAUUAAACCACAUGCUCCACCGCUUGUGCGGGUCCCCGUCAAUUCCUUUGAGUUUUAGCCUUGCGGCCGUACUCCCCAGGCGGAGUGCUUAACGCGUUAGCUACGUUGCCACAGGGGUCAAUACCCAUGACGACUAGCACUCAUCGUUUACGGCGUGGACUAC